rnacentral:piRNA from 1 species
UCCUUUUCAUAAGACAUUUUAGGUGCAGGCC